UGGGGAAUCUUCCGCAAUGGACGAAAGUCUGACGGAGCAACGCCGCGUGUAUGACGAAGGCCUUCGGGUUGUAAAGUACUGUCUUUGGGGGACGAACGGUAUCUAUGUAAAUAAUGUAGAUACAUGACGGUACCCAAGGAGGAAGCCCCGGCUAACUACGUGCCAGCAGCCGCGGUAAUACGUAGGGGGCGAGCGUUGUCCGGAAUCAUUGGGCGUAAAGGGCGCGUAGGCGGGUCAUUAAGUCUGGUGUGAAAGGGCAGGGGCUCAACCCCUGGAAGGCACCGGAACUGGUUAUCUUGAGGACAGGAGAGGAAAGCGGAAUUCCACGUGUAGCGGUGAAACUGCGUAGAUAUGUGGAGGAACACCAGUGGCGAAGGCGGCUUUCUGGACUGUAACUGACGCCGAGGCGCGAAAUGCGUGGGGAGCAAACAGGAUUAGAUACCCUGGUAGUCCACGCCGUAAAAGCGAUGAGUGCUAGGUGUAGAGGG
rnacentral:rRNA from 1 species